GGAAGACUUAAGAUGGCGGCGUUUGCACGGAGUGCAAUCACUGCGUCCUUACGGGGGUUGCAAGGCGUCCGAAGUAUGAGUCCACUAACAAAAGUCCAGAAACUCGCCAGUUAAUAGUAUUGUGUCUCUUCAAAAUAUCGGAGAAUAAUUUCUUUCUCGCUGAUCGCCUAACUUCUACUGACGAAGCUUGGAAGUUGCAGAAGGCUGGAAUGCAAUGGCAUGACCUUGGCUCACUGCAACCUCUGCCUCCCCAGUUCAAGUGGUUCUCCUGCCUCAGCCUCCCGAGUAGCUGAGAUUACAGGUACUGGCUCCUGUAUCACCCAGCUCUGGAGUUGAAAGAGCUCUUCAUUCCUGAGUCUCCUGUACCACUGAGAAUAGAAAUACAAAAAAAAUUCUAAAACUUGUAUGGAACUACAAAAGACAUUAAAUAAUCAAAGUAAUCUUGAGCAACAAGGACACAGCUGGAGGCAUCACUCUACCUGAUUUUGUAAUCCAUUAUCAAAAAACUGUGGUACCAGCAUAAAAACAGAUUCACUGACCAGUGGAACAGGAAAGCCCAGACAUAACUCAUACAUUUCCAUCCAAUUGAUUUUUGACAAAAGUGGCACACAGAAUGGGGAGAGGACAAAUAAAUAAAUAAAUUGUUUUGAGAUAUCUGUAUAUCUAUAUGUGAAAUUGAACCAUUUUCUCAUAGCAUAUAGAAAAAUCAACUCAAAAUGGAUUAAAGCCUGAAAUGUUGCCUUUGAAACUGUAAAACUACUAGUAGAAAAUAUAGGGGAAAA
rnacentral:lncRNA from 1 species